GCGGUCGUAGCUCAGCUGGUAGAGUGCUAGGUUGUGGUCCUGGAUGUCGCGGGUUCGAGCCCCGUCGAUCGCCCCA
rnacentral:tRNA from 1 species